UACGUAGGGUGCAAGCGUUGUCCGGAAUUAUUGGGCGUAAAGAGCUCGUAGGCGGUCUGUCACGUCGGCUGUGAAAUCCCGAGGCUCAACCUCGGGUCUGCAGUCGAUACGGGCAAACUAGAGUAUUGCAGGGGAGACUGGAAUUCCUGGUGUAGCGGUGAAAUGCGCAGAUAUCAGGAGGAACACCGGUAGCGAAGGCGGGUCUCUGGGCAAUAACUGACGCUGAGGAGCGAAAGCGUGGGGAGCGAACAGG
rnacentral:rRNA from 1 species